AACGAACGCUGGCGGCAGGCUUAACACAUGCAAGUCGAGCGCCCCGCAAGGGGAGCGGCUGACGGGUGAGUAACGCGGGGGAACGUACCCUUUGCUACGGAAUAGCUCCGGGAAACUGGAAUUAAUACCGUAUGUGCCCUACGGGGGAAAGAUUUAUCGGCAAAGGAUCGGCCCGCGUUGGAUUAGCUAGUUGGUGGGGUAAUGGCCUACCAAGGCGACGAUCCAUAGCUGGUCUGAGAGGAUGAUCAGCCACAUUGGGACUGAGACACGGCCCAAACUCCUACGGGAGGCAGCAGUGGGGAAUAUUGGACAAUGGGCGCAAGCCUGAUCCAGCCAUGCCGCGUGAGUGAUGAAGGCCUUAGGGUUGUAAAGCUCUUUCACCGGAGAAGAUAAUGACGGUAUCCGGAGAAGAAGCCCCGGCUAACUUCGUGCCAGCCGCCGCCGUAAUAC
rnacentral:rRNA from 1 species